CAAAUUAAAGUUGUUUAUCAAUUUAUUUUUUACAUAAAUAAGGAUCUAUUAAAUUAGAUAAUUUGA
rnacentral:tRNA from 1 species